AUGGGAUAUAAUAAUAGUAACAGAUAUGAUGAUAAUAAUAUGGUAAUAGAAUAAUAGUAUAAAAUAAUAAGUUUCAUGGCAUAGGAUAGGAAUGAGAAUUCCUAUGCGUCCUGUACCUUUAAGAAGCAGAAAGAGAACUCUGCUGCAGCCUUAGUUGCUAGGUCUUACUUUCAGGGGAGGCCUUAUAUUUGGCAAUCCCCCCCAAACCCCUGCUAGGUCUUAUUCUUUGGGGAGGUCUUAUUUUCGGGGAAACACGGUAUGUAGAAGGAUCAGAAAGCAACUAACUUUUGCAUUGCAUGCCUCAUCAGAUGUUAUGAUGCCAUUUCUUUUUAAUUGAAAGUGGAUUCAAAAAUAUCCACUGUGUGAGAAUCCAUAUUGAAUAAGAUGUUUUUAAGAUGGUACCUCACCCCUGCCAAACUAGCACAUUUUAACAAACACAAUAUGAACAAAUGCUGGAAAUGUAACAAGGAAAUAGGAACUUCUUACAUCAGUGGUGGAAAUGUAAGAAAAUCAAAGAAUACUGGAAAAAUGUCCACAAGGCGUCACAAUCAAUAUUAGGACUCAAGUUUCCUCUAUCACCAGAGACAUAUUUAUUAGGCAUAUCAAAUGUAAAAACAAACAAGAAUCAAGACAAAUUACUAUUUUUUAUUGGAACCGCGGCAAGACUAAUUGUAGCCAGAAUAUGGAAUCAAAAGGAAGUACCUUCCAUCAACGAUUGGAUUUUAAAACUGUUCGAUAUAAUACAAAUGGACACUUUAACUCAAAGACUAAGAGAAGUCAAAGAAAAAACAGAUUGGCUGGGCUUCAAAGACUUUACUCAGAAAGAAGGAUAUAAUUUAACAAUAGAUUUAUUUGAUAUGUGAUAUACAUCAAAACUACACGACUGUUAAUACCAGAGAUGAAAAUAGACUAUAAGAUUUUAAAACCCUCAAUAGGUCAAUGGGAAGUCAUUCAAAUUUUUCUUUCUUUUUUCCCUUUUUUUUCUUUAUUAUCCUUAUUUUUUAUUUUUAUAUUAUUAUUAAUGUUGAGGCUGUAUUUGUUCCCGUUUGUUUGUUUUUUUUACUUCAAAAUGAGGUACAGUAGAAUCUCACUUAUCCAAUAAUAAUAAUAAUAAUAAUAAUAAUAAUAAUAAUAAUAAUAAUAAUAAUACUUUAUUUAUACCCCGCCACCAUCUCCCCAACGGGGACUCGGGGCGGCUAACAUGGGGCCAUGCCCAGAGCAAUACAAUAUAACAAAAAAUAAAACAACAUAACAUAGCACCAUUAAAAAUACAAUAAAUAAUAAUAGGCAUUUCAUCAAGAGAUCAAAAAACAGUAAAACAAGGGCAGGCCACAUGAACACAAAGAUAAAACCUGGAGUGAGAGGGACAGAGGGGUACUCCACUGUGGGCAGGGACAUAUGGAAGUGGGGUAAUCUAGAGGAUAGAUGUUCGGGGUAGGAGUAACACAGAAAUAACAGAAAUUACUCACCAAAGGCACAGCGGAAGAGCCAUGUUUUCAAGUCUUUCCUAAAAGCUAACAGCGUGGGAGCUUGCCUAAUUUCAGUAGGUAGUGAGUUCCACAAUCGGGGGGCCACAGCAGAAAAGGCCCUCUCCCUUGUACUCACAAGGCGGGCCUGGGAUAAAGACAAUGGUAAUAAAAGGGCCUCCCCAGAUGAUCGUAAAGAUCGGGCAGGUUUAUGGAAGGAAAUACGGUCACGGAGGUAGGUGGGUCCCAAACCGUUUAGGGCUUUAUAGAUGAUGGUCUGCACCUUGAAUUGGGACCGGAAAAUGAACGGCAGCCAGUGGAGCUCCUUAAACAGGGGAGUGGAUCUCUCCCUGUAACUUGCCCCCGUAAUUAACCUGGCAGCCGAGCGUUGGACCAAUUGUAAUUUCCGGGCCGUCCUCAAGGGAAGCCCCACGUAGAGCGCAUUACAGUAGUCCAGUCUAGAGGCAACUAAGGCAUGCACCACUGUGGUCAAGUCAGACUUCACAA
ensembl:lncRNA